UACGUAGGGUGCAAGCGUUAAUCGGAAUUACUGGGCGUAAAGCGUGCGCAGGCGGUUUUGGAAGUCUGGCGUGAAAGCCCCGGGCUCAACCUGGGAAUUGCGAUGGAGACUGCAAGGCUUGAAUCUGGCAGAGGGGGGUAGAAUUCCACGUGUAGCAGUGAAAUGCGUAGAGAUGUGGAGGAACACCGAUGGCGAAGGCAGCCCCCUGGGUCAAGAUUGACGCUCAUGCACGAAAGCGUGGGGAGCAAACAGG
rnacentral:rRNA from 1 species